GAUGAACGCUAGCGACAGGCCUAACACAUGCAAGUCGAGGGGCAUCGGGGUGUAGCAAUACGCUGCCGGCGACCGGCGGAUGGGUGAGUAACGCGUAUGCAACCUGCCUUCAGCAGGGGGAUAGCCCGUUGAAAGACGGAUUAAUACCCCGUAACACAGGGGCUCCGCAUGGAGAUUAUUGUUAAAGGGAUGCUUCCUUCGGGGAGUAUUCUGGCUGAAAAUGGGCAUGCGUUCCAUUAGGUAGUUGGUUGAGGUAACGGCUCACCAAGCCUGCGAUGGAUAGGGGAACUGAGAGGUUGGUCCCCCACACUGGUACUGAGACACGGACCAGACUCCUACGGGAGGCAGCAGUGAGGAAUCUUGGUCAAUGGACGGAAGUCUGAACCAGCCAUGUCGCGUGAAGGAGGACGGCCCUAAGGGUUGUAAACUUCUUUUGCAGGGGAAUAAAGUAUUCCACGAGAUGGGAUAUUGCAAGUACGCUGCGAAUAAGGAUCGGCUAACUCCGUG
rnacentral:rRNA from 1 species